rnacentral:rRNA from 1 species
CAAUAGCGUAUAUUAAAGUUGUUGCAGUUAAAAAGCUCGUAGUUGGAUUUCUGGUCGGAAGCUCCUGUCCUCUGAUGAGCGUACAAGUGCGUCCUACCAUCCUUCUGUUAACCUUUAAGGCUUUCGCGGCUUUCUAGGGGCUCAGAUAUUUUACCUUGAGAAAAUUAGAGUGUUUCAGGCAGGCUAGCGCCGGAAUACAUUAGCAUGGAAUAAUGGAAUAGGACUUUUGCCUCUUCUGUUGGUCAUGAGGCUCGAGUAAUGAUUAAUAGGGAUAGUUGGGGGCAUUAGUACUUAACUGUCAGAGGUGAGAUUCUCGGAUUUGUUAAAGACUAACUUAUGCGAAAGCAUUUGCCAAGGAUGUUUUCAUUAA